AUGCUACAGUUUAUUAGAGAUGGGUUGAUCGGGAUAUCAGAAUUAGCCAGUAAGGGCUAGAGCUAAUGGGCCAAGCAGUGUUUAAAUGAAUACAAUUUGUGUGUUGUUAUUUCAGGGCAUAAGCUAGCCAAGCGGCCAGGAGCUGGGGGCGGCAGGAACACAGCCUGCAGCUCUUACUACAGCCCCCAUGUCUACACAUCAUCCCAGCAAUGGUGCUGGUAGACAAAGAUGCAGAUAAACUAACCCUAGGACAAAGCCUGACCAUGGGUACCCCACAUGCCAUUGAAGGAAUCCUAAAACAGCCACUGGCUGAGUAAUGGCAGGGUCACUUACUAUCAAGACCUGCUGUUAAAUCCUGCUAGAAUAACCUUUCAGGUACCAACCACACUCAAUCUGGCCACAUCACUGAUGGACCCAAACUUGGAAGCUCCCCUCCAUGAUUGCGAGGGAAUCCUGGCACAGGUGCAUUGCGUCCGAUCCAACCUUCAGGACACCUUGCUAUCAGACAUGGAAGAGACCUGGUUCACUGAUGAGAGCAGGUACAUGCGGGAUGGACACAGUCUUUGUAGAUAACUUUUCAAGCUGGACGGAGGAGUUCCUGACCAAACACGAGACUGCCUAUGUAGUUGCCAAAAAGAUUCUUGAAGUAAUUCUUCCCAGGUUUGAUGUCCCACACAUGUCUGGGUCAGAUAAUGGACCUGCCUUCGUCUCUCAGCUGCAUACCUUCCAGCCUGGAGAUUGGGUCUUGGUCCUGGCGACAUCAACACCGCAGCAUCAAGCCGUGCUGAAAGGGACCAUACCUGGUGAUCCGUACGACUCCCACCACAAUCGAAGUGGAUGGAAUUGCCCCCUGGGUUCACCACACCCACAUUCGACUAUUCCAUUAGUCACCAGUGGAGGAAAACUGGAAAUCACACCUAGAUCCCAGCAACCCCCUGCGAUUAAAACUUCACUAAAAUGGCAACCUUGCUACUGCUGUUGGCCCUGCUUCUGCUCCAGAUGCCGGACUGCGCGCCACCAACCAACCCCCAUCAGCCAGUACAGCAGACAUGGACUGUAUACAUUCCCAGGGCUGGACUUUCACCCGCUGGAGCGCUGGCGGUUCAUCCAGGUCAAUGGUAUCUUUGCCUAGGACACACCUAAAAAUUUUGGUCAGGAUGUUGGGGAAGGGGAGAUUUUUAUUGUGCAAAAUGGAGAUGUGAAACCAAUGCUAGUCCAGGGCACAGUGUCAGCAGGAUUUAAUCCAAGUCACCUGGAAAUAUCCCCGGAGUUCUCCUCCUCCAGGUCCCCUAGGGAUGAUUAAAUUCAUCCCCGAAGGUAAAAAUGCAGACUGGGUAACACCAAAACAUGGGGACUGCGAUUUUACGACUCCACUGGCUCAGAUUACAGGGUGCUCAUCUCUACAGCCCAGUCUUUCCAGCUAUCCACGUUUUCUAUAGGCCCAAACAUUAUUCCGAGCUGCCCCAAGGGUACUCGAGCUCCGGAAACCUUGCUCCCAGAGAUAUUUACCCCAAUCCCGCAUUUACCUUCCACGACACUGUACCCUGCACCGGUUUCACCUUCAGCUGACAGACUACUAAAAUUAUGCGUCUUUUGCAUUCUUAAAUAAUUCAGCCCCUAAUCUCACCACUGCUUGCUGGCUUUGCCUAUAUGCUCAGCUUCCAUAUUAUGAAGGGAUUGCCAUCAUAUCUGAUAAUACCGUCACCCAAGAAGCUUCCUGUUGCAGAUGGCAAUCUCAGGUCUCACUCACCCUGCCUGGAAUACAAGGUUAUGGCACUUGCCUUGGAGAGGUGCCCCCCCCCCCAAUCUAAGACAAUAUUGCAACAAUUUCGUUGCCCUGAGUCAGCAGAAAUGGGGUACAUUGUACCCCCCCCCCCGAAGGUGCCUGGUGGGCCUGUUCCAUCAGCCUAACUCCUUGUUAGUAAGUAUAGUAUAAGUAUAUGCAUAUACUUAGUAUCAUUUCCAAGUAUUGGAUCAUAGUUAGACUCAUCCCCGAGGUGGUCUACCAUGACACCGAUUUCCUAGCCCAUGGUCAACAGCUCCCCUUCUCAGGACAAAGAGAGAGCCCUUUACCACCCUUACCUUGGCCAUCUUCCUUGGGGCAUGGUUGACAGGAUUAGGCAUGCGGACCGCAGGCCCUGUCACCCAACAGGCUGGAUACCAGCAUCUACGUAAGUCCAUUGACGAAGACGUCCAACACCUAGAGUCAUCUAUGUUGAGCCCGGAGGCCUCCCUAGACAGUUUAGCUGAGGUAGCCUUACAAAAUAGAAGAGGACUAGAUCUGUUACUUCUUCAGCAAAAGGGCCAAUGCACGGCCCUAGUAGAAGAGUGCUUCUCCUAUGCCAAUAAGACAGGGGUAAUUAGGCAAACAGUGGCUAAAAUACAGGACAGUUUGUUACACAGACAAAAGGAACCUGACGCUUCCCAAGGAUGGUUUGAGUCCCGGUUUUCAUCGUCCCCUUGGCUAACAACAUUGGUAACUUUAAAGAUUUAAAAACUUUGCAACAUCAAGAAAAACAGGGUAUCUAACUAGGACAUUGAGUUCAAGCACAAACCACAAAAUGUUCCUGGCAGCUGGCCACCUGUCAACACCCAACUUCGUGGUCUACCAGGGAACAGCAGAAGCAACCGCUUUGGGGAGGCGGGGCAUGCUAGAGAUAAUUCACACCUGUUGUUAUGUAAACCAGCUUCCUUGACCCAAAAUAAACCCGGCUUGCGGUUUUUGCCUAUAUAUGCCAGCCUCAAUUGAGAAUGGGGGCUUCACCCUACUGUGCUACGCUGAGUAGAGGUUGAGCUCCCAGCCUGGCAUGGACUUCGCACGCUGAAUAAACCUUGCUUUUGCAUUCUGGACUUGACUGGAUUCAGGUGGUCUCUCUGGGGGUCUAGACUUGGACACAACAAGCUUGACUUGUUUUGUUCUAGCAACAGAAAACUAUGAAUGUAGCCUGUGACCUUCAAUUGGGUUUCAUGUAUCUCAAGCAGGUAGCUGAGGAUAACCUUGAAGCAAUCAAUCUUCCUGUCUCCGUCUCCGCUUCCUGAGUGCUGAUACUAGAAGACACUAGAAGAUGCGCUACUAUACCGAACUUUUUCCUGCUUUGAAUUACUUAGAAAAUACCAUCAAAGGCAGGUCAUGAAACUGAAAGUGCUAGUCUCAGCGAAGGUAGGUUAAAUUGUUUCUAAGCAGAUGACUGUACACUGCAUGAGUUUUCCUGAGGUGGUGCAAACACAUAUCUAUUUUCCUCAAAUAGGGCACUUAGUGGCAGAGCAAAUAGAUGAUUCUUCCCAAGUCCUUCUUAGUGAAUUGGUGGGUUUUAUAGAGUUAUUUAUUAUAAUAGGUGAGGGGUUACCCACAGGGGCACGGGUGGCUGAAAAGCAACUACAGACAGAAGAAAAUCUCACUCCAGCUAAAAGACCCCCAGUGUAGGGAGACUCUCACUCAAGUCUCGGGAUAACAUGACCUCCCCAGUAACUCACAAGAGACUGUCCUUGUUGCAGUCAUGUGAGGUUUUAAUCGAUGAGAAGGGAACCAGUGCACUGGGGCCGAGACUCAUAACCCAUGCAAGGGAAGAGUUCGACCCUGAGUGACCAAGAGAAGUGGUUUUUAUAGGAAGAAACCACAGCCCAGUAAUCCGAAAGGUGCAUGGAGGAUGUCACAGAAAAUCACAAGAGGGCAACUCUCUGCCUCUCAAGAUCACUCAAGGUCAUAAUCAGCUAGUUCCUGAGUCCGGAGCCAUUUUCCCAAAGAUUAUAGUAGGGACUAUUGUCCUAAGGAUGUUUUCAGAGAGCCCCACACCCCAACUGUAUUGAGAACUGUUUGUUGGCAGAGCCCACCCCAUACCCAACUAUCUUGAGAGCUAUCUGUUAGCGGAAUCUGCCCCACAUUCCAACUAUCUAGAGAACUGUUUGUGGUUGGAAUCACAAAAGGAACGAUUUCGUUUGCAUAGAGAACACUAGGUGUGUCGACUUGUGACCAUUGCUGCCCCUGCCCCCACCCCAAGCCAAAUUCCUCAUUCAAGGGCUUUAUAAGCCACAACCCUUUCGCUAAUACAGUGAGACCUUGACAAGAACUCUGCUUGGUCUCCUUUCUCUUUCCCGCCCACGUCUUUUCAGAUCGGGACCCUGGAAUAACUGACCUGCCAGGCAGGUUACAACCCUAGACUAACUGACCCACUGGGUGGUUACAUUCCUGAAACACAGUAUUCCAAAAAUACCAAUGAUAAUCACAAGGGGGGAAACUCUGGUUCUCAAGAUUUUUAUUUUUGUGUGUGUGUGUGUGGGGGGGGGUUAAUAGAUGUCUUUAUUUGUUCCUCUCUCCAACACAGCCCGUUUAAAUAAAUCUCCUUGAUCUGAUUUUCACCAUUGUCUUAUAAAUUGGAGGAUUGUUGCCAGGCAGUGGUGGCACAUACAUUUAAUCCCAGCACUUGGGAGACAGAGGCAGGUGGAUCUCUGUGUGUUCGAGGUCAGCCUAAUGUACAAAGCUAGUGCCAGGACAGGCUCCACAGCUAUAGAGACACCCUGCCUCGAAAAAAACACAAAUAAAUAAACACACAUAUACACAGACAGACAAACAACCAAACAAAAUGAACUGGAGGAUUGUGGAUGAGCAGUCCAGCACAGCUUGUGAGGAUGUCCGAAGCCCAGGCUCUGAUCCCAGCAGUGACUAAGCUAAGGCCUAGUCACCAAUGUGACAGUGUUGAUAGGUGAUGGGCCAUUCUGAGGUGAUGGACGAAAGUCUUCCUCCCAGAAGUGAACUCUUAUUCUUGUAGGACUGGGUCAGUGAUGGCGAGAACACUGUGAAGCAUCUAGUUGCCUCUACCCCUGCCCUCUAUUUCCCAUGUGUACAUUGGAUGUUCUGACACACUUCUGUUUCCCGAUGCUUCUGCCACCUGAUCUACUAGGUUAUGACCAGGAGGAGACCCUUACCAGAUGCAGCAACCCAAUCUUGAACUUUCCUGUCUCCAAAACUACAAGCUAAACGAAUCCAUUUGCUUCGCAAAUGGCACAGUCUCUGGUAUUCUGAUAUAGCAAUGGAAAAUGAACUAACACACUAAUUCUUCCCAGAAGUGCUUUGUUUUCAUGUGAAGUGUUAUGUGGGAACCUAUGGAGCUUGGGCUAUGGUUUCUGAUAUCUAGGGAGCAAACUUUCCACCUCACUUAACGGUUGUACCUGCAUUACUUUUCUGACUCAAACACCCUGACUCUGUAUAAUUUAGGCAGAAUAUGUUCAGAACCUCACAAGAGAUUCUUCUUCUUCUUCUUUUUCUUCUUCUUCUUCUUCUUCUUCUUCUUCU